rnacentral:rRNA from 1 species
CAAGGACUUUUCCCCAAUGGGCGCAAGCCUGAGGGAGCAACGCCGCGUGCAGGACGACGGCCUUCGGGUUGUAAACUGCUUUUGCGUGGGCCGAUAACGACGGUACCACGCGAAUCAGCACCGGCUAACUCAGUGCCAGCAGCCCCGGUAAUUCAGAGGGGGCAAGCGUUGUCCGCACUUACUGGGCGUAAAGCGCACGCAGGUGGUAACGCAAGUGGGGUGUGAAAGCCGCCAGCUCAACUGGCGGAGGCCAUCCCAAACUGCGUCACUUGAGGCCUGUAGAGGUAUGUGGAAUUGCCGGUGUGGUGGUGAAAUGCGUAGAGAUCGGCAGGAACACCCAGGGGGAAACCAGCAUACUGGACAGGUCCUGACACUCAGGUGCGACAGCGUGGGGAGCGAACCGGAUUAGAUACCCCCGUAGUCC